rnacentral:rRNA from 1 species
AUUGAACGCUGGCGGCAGGCCUAACACAUGCAAGUCGAACGGAGUGGCAGACGGGUGAGUAAUGUCUGGGAAACUGCCUGAUGGAGGGGGAUAACUACUGGAAACGGUAGCUAAUACCGCAUACUAUCAGAUGAGCCUAGGUCGGAUUAGCAAGUUGGUGGGGUAAAGGCCUAACAAGGCGACGAUCCGUAACUGGUCUGAGAGGAUGAUCAGUCACACUGGAACGGAGACACGGUCCAGAUUCCUACGGGAGGCAGCAGUGGGGAAUAUUGGACAACGGGCGAAAGCCUGAUCCAGCCAGGCCGCGUGUGUGAAGAAGGUCUUCGGAUUGUAAAGAACUUUAAGUUGGGAGGCGUUACCAACAGAAUAAGCACCGGCUAACUUCGUGCCAGCAGCCGCGGUAAUAC